AAUUCUCUCGAGUGUUUAUGAGCUCCAUCAUCAAACCUGGUCCUGCGACACAGAUGAUCACACAGCAGGUAAUUGCUAUAAAUCGUUGAAAAGUUCGCUCGACUAUCUUUCGUCUCCAUCAUCAGACUUUAAUGGCACUUGUAACUCAUAUAGGUGCAAAAGUUCUCAUCAAUAGAAACGAAUUAAGUUCAAAAAGAAGGUAAUUGCUAUAAAUUUUUGAAGAGUUCCCUCGACUAUCUUUCUUUUUC
rnacentral:misc_RNA from 1 species